ensembl:rRNA 5S_rRNA 5S ribosomal RNA
UUUAAAAUCCACAUCACCCUGCAGCCCAAGACUAGUUACUCAUUGAAGCUAAGCAGGGCUGAACCUGGUCAGUACCUGAAUAGGAGUCCAUAUGGGAAAACUAGCUUGCUGUUGAAA